rnacentral:rRNA from 1 species
UUCAUGGAGAGUUUGAUCCUGGCUCAGGACGAACGCUGGCGGCGUGCCUAAUACAUGCAAGUCGAGCGGACAGAUGGGAGCUUGCUCCCUGAUGUUAGCGGCGGACGGGUGAGUAACACGUGGGUAACCUGCCUGUAAGACUGGGAUAACUCCGGGAAACCGGGGCUA